CCUACGGGAGGCAGCAGUAAGGAAUAUUGGUCAAUGGAGGCAACUCUGAACCAGCCACGCCGCGUGCAGGAAGACGGCCCUAUGGGUUGUAAACUGCUUUUGAACUAGAGAAAACCUUGGUACGUGUACCGAGUUGAUAGUAUAGUUAGAAUAAGCAUCGGCUAACUCCGUGCCAGCAGCCGCGGUAAUACGGAGGGUGCAAGCGUUAUCCGGAUUCACUGGGUUUAAAGGGUGCGUAGGUGGCUUUGUAAGUCAGCGGUGAAAGCCUGGAGCUCAACUCCAGAAUUGCCAUUGAUACUGCAGAGCUUGAAUCAAGUUGAGGUGGAUGGAAUAUUACAUGUAGCGGUGAAAUGCUUAGAUAUGUAAUAGAACACCGAUUGCGAAGGCAGUUCACUAAGCUUGUAUUGACACUGAGGCACGAAAGCGUGGGGAUCAAACAGGAUUAGAUACCCUGGUAGUCCACGCCCUAAACGAUGCAAACUCGACAUUAGACGAUAUACUAGUAGUGUCGACGACGAAGACGUUAGUUAGUCGUAACCGUGGUAGUUACGACGCGAGUUAGUAAGACGAGAGUAGAGGCGNGAGAGNGCGACGGACGACGACGAGGGAGGAGG
rnacentral:rRNA from 1 species